UGAUACCGGAUGUUCGGCAGUUAUGGGGACAGCUUCUGACCCACAAGAUGGGAGAGUUAAUGGUGGGAGUUAUGGGGUUAUGGGGCAGCUCUGACCCACAAGUGGGGAGUUAUGGGGGAGUUUAUGGGGCAGCUCUGACCCACAAGUGGGGAGUUAUGGGGUUAUGGGGCAGCUCUGACCCACAAGUGGGGAGUUAUGGGGUUAUGGGGCAGCUCUGACCCACAAGUGGGGAGUUAUGGGGGAGUUAUGGGGUUAUGGGGCAGCUCUGACCCACAAGUGUGGCGAACCACGGCCGAAACA
rnacentral:lncRNA from 1 species